AGCACUACCGGCCAUCAUCACCAUCGCAGGUUUUACCAUGGUUAUGACAACUAUAUGACUUAUGCUUUUCCGCAUGAUGAACUAAAGCCUCUAGCCAAAACAUUCACCGACUCCCUUGUCCAGCUACGAAAUUUGAAGCUUGAACAUUUGCCACAACAGCAUCAUGGAUCUGCCCUCACACUUGUAGAAUCGCUAUCCAGCCUUGUUAUCAUUGGGGAACAACACAGAAUUUGAAACGGGCUGUUCUUUGGCUUCCUGAAAAUCUAACUUUUCAUGUUGAUGCGAGGAUACAUCUUCUUCAG